GAUGAACGCUGGCGGCGUGCCUAAUACAUGCAAGUCGAGCGAACGGACGAGAAGCUUGCUUCUCUGAUGUUAGCGGCGGACGGGUGAGUAACACGUGGAUAACCUACCUAUAAGACUGGGAUAACUUCGGGAAACCGGAGCUAAUACCGGAUAAUAUUUUGAACCGCAUGGUUCAAAAGUGAAAGACGGUCUUGCUGUCACUUAUAGAUGGAUCCGCGCUGCAUUAGCUAGUUGGUAAGGUAACGGCUUACCAAGGCAACGAUGCAUAGCCGACCUGAGAGGGUGAUCGGUCACACUGGAACUGAGACACGGUCCAGACUCCUACGGGAGGCAGCAGUAGGGAAUCUUCCGCAAUGGGCGAAAGCCUGACGGAGCAACGCCGCGUGAGUGAUGAAGGUCAUCGGAUCGUAAAACUCUGUUAUUAGGGAAGAACAUAUGUGUAAGUAACUGUGCACAUCUUGACGGUACCUAAUCAGAAAGCCACGGCUAACUACGUG
rnacentral:rRNA from 1 species